AUACGUAGGAAGCGAGCGUUAUCCGGAAUUACUGGGCGUAAAGCGCGCGUAGGUGGUCUUUCAAGUCGAAUGUGAAAUUUCCCGGCUUAACCGGGAAGGGUCGUUCGAUACUGUUGGACUAGAGAGCGGCAGGGGGAAGCGGAAUUCCCGGUGAAGUAGUGAAAUGCGUAGAUAUCGGGAGGAACACCAGUGGCGAAGGCGGCUUCCUGGGCUGUUUCUGACACUGAGGCGCGAAAGUGUGGGGAGCGAACAGAAUUAGAUACUCUGGUAGUCCACACUGUAAACGAUGGGUACUAGGUAUAGGGAGUAUCGACCCUCUUUGUGCCGAAGCUAACGCUUUAAGUACCCCGCCUGGGGACUACGGCCGCAAGGCUAAAACUCAAAGGAAUCGACGGGG
rnacentral:rRNA from 1 species